CCUACGGGUGGCAGCAGUGAGGAAUAUUGGUCAAUGGGCGCGAGCCUGAACCAGCCAAGUCGCGUGAGGGAAGACGGUCCUAUGGAUUGUAAACCUCUUUUGUCGGGGAGCAAAAGACGCCACGUGUGGCGUUCCGAGAGUACCCGAAGAAAAAGCAUCGGCUAACUCCGUGCCAGCAGCCGCGGUAAUACGGAGGAUGCGAGCGUUAUCCGGAUUUAUUGGGUUUAAAGGGUGCGCAGGCGGAAGAUCAAUUCAGCGGUAAAAUUGAGGGGCUCAACCUGUUCGAGCCGGUGAAACUGGUUUGCUUGAGUGAGCGAGAAGUAUGCGGAAUGCGUGGGGGAGCGGUGAAAUGCAUAGAUAUCACGCAGAACUCCGAUUGCGAAGGCAGCAUACCGGCGCUCAACUGACGCUCAUGCACGAAAGUGUGGGUAUCGAACAGGAUUAGAUACCCGUGUAGUC
rnacentral:rRNA from 1 species